rnacentral:rRNA from 1 species
CCUACGGGAUGCAGCAGUGAGGAAUAUUGGUCAAUGGACGAGAGUCUGAACCAGCCAAGUAGCGUGAAGGAUGACUGCCCUAUGGGUUGUAAACUUCUUUUAUAUGGGAAUAAAAUGUUCCACGUGUGGGAUUUUGUAUGUACCAUAUGAAUAAGGAUCGGCUAACUCCGUGCCAGCAGCCGCGGUAAUACGGAGGAUCCGAGCGUUAUCCGGAUUUAUUGGGUUUAAAGGGUGCGUAGGUGGAUUGUUAAGUCAGUUGUGAAAGUGUGCGGCUCAACCGUAAAAUUGCAGUUGAAACUGGCAGUCUUGAGUACAGUAGAGGUGGGCGGAAUUCGUGGUGUAGCGGUGAAAUGCUUAGAUAUCACGAAGAACUCCGAUUGCGAAGGCAGUUCACUGGACUGCAACUGACACUGAGGCUCGAAAGUGUGGGUAUCAAACAGGAUUAGAUACCCCAGUAGUC